rnacentral:rRNA from 1 species
UCCACGCCGUAAACGAUGUCAACUAGCCGUUUGUGUCCUUGAGACGUGAGUGGCGCAGCUAACGCACUAAGUUGACCGCCUGGGGAGUACGGCCGCAAGGUUAAAACUCAAAUGAAUUGACGGGGGCCCGCACAAGCGGUGGAGCAUGUGGUUUAAUUCGAUGCAACGCGAAGAACCUUACCAUCCCUUGACAUCCAGAGAAGCGACUAGAGAUAGACGUGUGCCUUCGGGAA